AGGCCAUCGCUCGCCUUUUGGCUAAGAUCAAGUGUAGUAUCUGUUCUUAUCAGUUUAAUAUCUGAUACGUCCCCUAUCUGGGGACUACAUAUUAAACGGAUUUUUGAGACUGGGAGUCGGAGAAGGAGCUUGCUCCGUCCGCUCCACGCUCGACCCGGUAUUGCAGUACGUCCGGGAACGGUGCGCCUCUA